rnacentral:rRNA from 1 species
CCUGCCCAAGAGACUGGGAUAACACCUGGAAACAGAUGCUAAUACCGGAUAACAACACUAGACGCAUGUCUAGAGUUUAAAAGAUGGUUCUGCUAUCACUCUUGGAUGGACCUGCGGCGCAUUAGCUAGUUGGUAAGGUAACGGCUUACCAAGGCAAUGAUGCAUAGCCGAGUUGAGAGACUGAUCGGCCACAUUGGGACUGAGACACGGCCCAA